UCCCCUACACCCCAGCAGUCAAACCGUACAAGAAAAAGUCGUGUUUCUGUGUCUCCAGGGAGAACUUCAGGUAAAGUGACAAAACAUAAAGGUACUGAGAAAAGAGAAUCCCCUUCACCAGCACCGAAGCCUAGAAAAGUAGAGUUAUCUGAAUCGGGUAAGUUUGUUGUUUUUUUUUGUGAUUUUGGUUUGUUUGUUUUUGUUUUUCUUAAAGCUGAUUUUGAUUUUUUGCACAUUUGGUCAUCCCCUUCUGCUUGAAGAUUAAGUAUAGGGUAAGAGCUAAGACUCUGAAGGCAGACAGACUUGGGUGGAAUCCCCCAUUCCAGAAUUUAA
rnacentral:lncRNA from 1 species